GACGAACGCUGGCGGCGUGCUUAACACAUGCAAGUCGAACGGAAAGGCCCUGCUUUUGUGGGGUGCUCGAGUGGCGAACGGGUGAGUAACACGUGAGUAACCUGCCCUUGACUUUGGGAUAACUUCAGGAAACUGGGGCUAAUACCGGAUAGGAGCUCCUGCUGCAUGGUGGGGGUUGGAAAGUUUCGGCGGUUGGGGAUGGACUCGCGGCUUAUCAGCUUGUUGGUGGGGUAGUGGCUUACCAAGGCUUUGACGGGUAGCCGGCCUGAGAGGGUGACCGGCCACAUUGGGACUAAGAUACGGACCAAACUCCUACGGGAGGCAGCAGUGGGGAAUAUUGCACAAUGGGCGGAAGCCUGAUGCAGCAACGCCGCGUGCGGGAUGACGGCCUUCGGGUUGUAAACCGCUUUCGCCUGUGACGAAGCGUGAGUGACGGUAAUGGGUAAAGAAGCACCGGCUAACUACGUG
rnacentral:rRNA from 1 species